GUGACGAACUCAUCUGCAACCAUGAGUAAAACUGAUUUAACUACACUGUUUUUCUGCAUUUUAUUAUACGAGAAGGAAGCAGAAUUAAAGACUGUCUAUCCAUUUUCACUCCGAUUGUGACCCUACCAGCACUGAGACGGACGACGAAUUCACUUGUUUUUUACUCCUCGCCUGUAUAUCAAGUUGCUGGUGAUGAAGUCACAUUUGGAGGUUGGAUGAUCAGCAGUGAAAACAACAUCAUCUGUGAAGGAAAGAUGAAGCUGCGAGGACACUGGAGUUUGUUCAAAGAUGCUUAAUUGGUGUGAACCCUAAGAGGUGAACAAAAGCCAGGCAGGUGAAGGUGUCCGAGAAGACAGGAAAGCUUAUCCAGAAAAACGCAGCAACUGUUAAUCC